ACAGGAGCGGCUGGAGGAUGCCCAACCUUCAGGAGGAGAAGUGCCAGAAUCUGAGCCAGACACAUCUCAACAGAUUCGACAGAAGAAACUCUCUAAAGGAAAAUCUUCACGGAUUCUAGA